AACGAACGCUGGCGGCAUGCCUAACACAUGCAAGUCGAACGAGAUCCUUCGGGGUCUAGUGGCGCACGGGUGCGUAACGCGUGGGAAUCUGCCCUUAGGUUCGGAAUAACAGUUAGAAAUGACUGCUAAUACCGGAUGAUGACGUUAAGUCCAAAGAUUUAUCGCCUGAGGAUGAGCCCGCGUAGGAUUAGCUAGUUGGUGUGGUAAAGGCGCACCAAGGCGACGAUCCUUAGCUGGUCUGAGAGGAUGAUCAGCCACACUGGGACUGAGACACGGCCCAGACUCAUACGGGAGGCAGCAGUGGGGAAUAUUGGACAAUGGGCGCAAGCCUGAUCCAGCAAUGCCGCGUGAGUGAUGAAGGCCUUAGGGUUGUAAAGCUCUUUUAACCGAGAUGAUAAUGACAGUAUCGGGAGAAUAAGCCCCGGCUAACUCCGUG
rnacentral:rRNA from 1 species